GAACCAUUAUUGUGAAUAGUUAGUGGAUACAUAAUGCUCCUGUGACUAGCCAGCCAGCCUCUGUGAGUACCAGAGUAUGUCUUUGAUUGAUAGGAGCAUGGAGACAUAAUGUAGACAAGUUGAAGCUGGUUACUUGACUUUUGAGCUUAUGACAAAACUAUUAUACAUUUAUUCUGGGAGUGUCGGUACACUGUGGAGUUCUGGAAGUGAAUUGAAAACUAUUUCAACAUUCAAAAGAAUUACGUAAUUAAAUUGGAAGCAAAAUAUGUAAUUCUUUGUUAUGAUAACAAAA